rnacentral:rRNA from 1 species
GGAGGCCUACGGGAGGCAGCAGUGAGGAAUAUUGGUCAAUGGACGCAAGUCUGAACCAGCCAAGUAGCGUGCAGGAUGACGGCCCUCCGGGUUGUAAACUGCUUUUAGUUGGGAAUAAAAGGGGGCUCGUGAGCCCCGUAUUGUAUGUACCAUCAGAAAAAGGACCGGCUAAUUCCGUGCCAGCAGCCGCGGUAAUACGGAAGGUCCGGGCGUUAUCCGGAUUUAUUGGGUUUAAAGGGAGCGUAGGCCGGCUUUUAAGUCAGAUGUGAAAACCACGGGCUCAACCUGUGGCCUGCAUUUGAAAC